CUGUUGAACGCGCAUUACAUUGAUUGAGUAGACAGUGACGUAACUGUCUAGAAAAUUUUGAUACAUUAUAUAGAUUUAAAUAUUUGCUAAAAAUGUGGUAUAAUGCUAUGAUACCAUUAGGUAUAAUAGGAGUACUUACAGCAUUACCUGCUUACAUUUCACCAUACAUAAAUAAGUUUUUUAUCGGGAACCGAAAUGGAAGAUUGUACAAUAACAAUAUAAUUGAGCAAGUGGGAUAUGCUAGAGACUAUGAAUUUGGUGGUAAACGAAUUUGGAAGUUUAAUGGUUUGGAAGUCAUUCCUGACAAAUAGAGUCAUAUAUAUGCCAGUACUGUAUUAGUCUAUCUUUAUUAUCUUGGUGAAUGUAUUAUGUAAAUAUAACAUUAUAAUAUAUAUAUAUAUAUAUAUAUAUAUAUAUAUAUAUAUAUAUAUAUAUAUAUAUAUAUAUUAUAUUAUAUUUAAUAUAAAAUAUUAAUAUAUAUGUGUAGUGAAUGA